CUACGGGGGGCAGCAGUGAGGAAUAUUGCACAAUGGGGGGAACCCUGAUGCAGCAACGCCGCGUGGAGGAUGACGCAUUUCGGUGUGUAAACUCCUUUUAUAUGUCAAGAAAAUGACGGUAGCAUAUGAAUAAGCACCGGCUAACCCCGUGCCAGCAGCCGCGGUAAUACGGAGGGUGCAAGCGUUACUCGGAAUCACUGGGCGUAAAGGACGCGUAGGCGGGUUGGAAAGUCAGGUGUGAAAUCCUACAGCUUAACUGUAGAACUGCACUUGAAACUUCUAAUCUAGAGUAUGGGAGGGGGAGAUGGAAUUAGUGGUGUAGGGGUAAAAUCCGUAGAUAUCACUAGGAAUACCUAAAGCGAAGGCGAUCUCCUGGAACAUUACUGACGCUAAGGCGUGAAAGCGUGGGGAGCAAACAGGAUUAGAUACCCCAGGUAGUC
rnacentral:rRNA from 1 species